CUCAAUCGGGAAACUGCCUUUCAAACUAUCUGGCUUGAGACUGGAAGAGGGAAAUGGAAUUAGCAGUGUAAGGGUGAAAUCUGUAGAUAUUGCUAAGAACACCAGCGGCGAAGGCGAUUUCCUGGUCCAGCUCUGACGCUAAACUGCGAAAGCUAGGGGAGCGAACAGAAUUAGAUACUCUGGUAGUCCUAGCCGUAAACGAUGAAUACUAGGUGUCGGGACUUCGGUCUCGGUGCCGCAGCUAACGCAUUAAGUAUUCCACCUGGGGACUACGGCCGCAAGGCUAAAACUCAAAGGAAUUGACGGGGACCCGCACAAGCGGUGGAACAUGUGGUUUAAUUCGAUGCUACGCGAAGAACCUCACCUGGGCUUGACUUGCUCGUCGUAUCUCUCUGAAAGGAGAGAGUCAGCUCGGCUGGACG
rnacentral:rRNA from 1 species